GCGCCUGUAGCUCAGCGGAUAGAGCGACUGCCUCCUAAGCCGUAGGCCGCCGGUUCAAUUCCGGCCAGGCGCA
rnacentral:tRNA from 1 species